GAUGAACGCUGGCGGCGUGCCUAAUACAUGCAAGUCGAGCGAACGGACGAGGAGCUUGCUUCUCUGAUGUUAGCGGCGGACGGGUGAGUAACACGUGGAUAACCUACCUAUAAGACUGGGAUAACUUCGGGAAACCGGAGCUAAUACCGGAUAAUAUUUUGAACCGCAUGGUUCAAAAGUGAAAGACGGUCUUGCUGUCACUUAUAGAUGGAUCCGCGCUGCAUUAGCUAGUUGGUAAGGUAACGGCUUACCAAGGCAACGAUGCAUAGCCGACCUGAGAGGGUGAUCGGCCACACUGGAACUGAGACACGGUCCAGACUCCUACGGGAGGCAGCAGUAGGGAAUCUUCCGCAAUGGGCGAAAGCCUGACGGAGCAACGCCGCGUGAGUGAUGAAGGUCUUCGGAUCGUAAAACUCUGUUAUUAGGGAAGAACAUAUGUGUAAGUAACUGUGCACAUCCUGACGGUACCUAAUCAGAAAGCCACGGCUAACUACGUG
rnacentral:rRNA from 1 species